AUGGACCGAGCGCCGUCAUCAGCCCUCCGCACCGCCGAGGCAGUGGGCCAUGGCGCGCCACACCAACAGCCAUCCCGGUUCGCCAAGAUCGACUUCGCCACUUACGACGGUUCGGACGACCCGCUUAACUGGCUCAACCAGUGUGACCAAUUCUUCCGCGGCCAGCGCACGCCCGCGUCGGAGCGCACUUGGCUGGCUUCCUACCAUCUCCGCGGGGCCGCCCAGACAUGGUACUACGCCCUCGAGCAGGACGAGGGCGGCAUGCCCCCGUGGGAUCGUUUUCGCGAGCUGUGUCUUCUUCACUUCGGACCGCCAUUACGCGGGAGCCGCUUGGCCGAGUUGGGUCGCCUGCCUUUCACCUCCACGGUGCAGGAUUUCGCCGACCGCUUCCAGGCACUGGCGUGCCACGCGCCAGGUGUGACAGCCCUACAGCGGGCGGAGCUACCACGGGCUCGCUCGCGACGUGCCCAUCACUAUCGGCGACGAGCACUUCACCAUCACCUGCGUCGGCAUCGACUUGGGCUGCUUCGACUUCAUCCUCGGCGUUGA
rnacentral:rRNA from 1 species